GGGAGUGCGGCGUCUUAGUUGCAGUCGACGCUUGUGCGGAGCACAAGAAAUUUCAAAUCCAAAAAUACAAGUUCCAAAUAAUUUUCAAAAAUUUCAAAUUUAAUUAUUUGAAUAUAUAAUUUAUUUGGUUUAUUGAGAUUUUGAUAUUGGAGUUUCUCGUGCUUCGCGCGAGAGUGGCGGACGGGUGAGUAACGCGUAUGAAUCUACCCAAGAGCUCUGAAUAACCUGCCGAAAGGUGGGCUAAUACGGAAUGGUCCCUACGGGGUAAAGGAGUAAUCCGCUUUUGGAGGAGCAUGCGUCCUAUCAGCUAGUUGGUGAGGUAAUGGCUUACCAAGGCUAUGACGGGUAUCUGGACUGAGAGGUUGAACAGACACAGGGGCACUGAGACACGGGCUCCACAUCUACGGAUGGCAGCAACCAGGAAUAUUGGGCAAUGGACGAAAGUCUGACCCAGCGACGCCGCGUGGAGGAUGAAGGCUUUAGGGUCGUAAACUCCUUUUAAUAGACCCUUCACGGUCUAUAGAAUAAGCACCUACUAACUACGUGCCAGAAGUCUCGGUAAUACGUAGGGUGCAAGCGUUAUCCGGAUUUACUGGGCGUAAAGAGUGUGUAGGCGGUCUUCCAAGUCGCAGUUUAAAGCCCGGGGCUUAACCCCGGAUUUGGUUGCGAUACUGAUUGACUCGAGGAUUAUUUGGGGUGCUGGAACAGUUGGUGUAGUGGUGAAAUACGUUGAUAUCAACUGGAACACCGAAGGCGAAGGCAAGUGCCUGAGAUUUUCCUGACGCUGAGACACGAAAGCCAGGGUAGCGAAACAGAUUAGAGACCUGUGUAGUCCUGGCCGUAAACGAUGGAUACUAGCUAGUGUGCAAGCACUGGCGUAAGCUAACGCGUUAAGUAUCCCGCCUGGGGAGUACGACCGCAAGGUUAAAACUCAAAGGAAUUGACGG
rnacentral:rRNA from 1 species